rnacentral:rRNA from 1 species
CACGUAGGGCGCAAGCGUUGUCCGGAAUUAUUGGGCGUAAAGAGCUCGUAGGUGGUUUGUUACGUCUGCUGUGAAAUCCUAGGGCUUAACCCUGGGCUUGCAGUGGAUACGGGCAGACUAGAGGUAGGUAGGGGAGAAUGGAAUUCCCGGUGUAGCGGUGAAAUGCGCAGAUAUCGGGAGGAACACCUGUGGCGAAGGCGGCCCCCUGGUUGGAUACUGACGCUGAGACGCGAAAGCGUGGGGAGCAAACAGGG